rnacentral:rRNA from 1 species
GAUGAACGCUGGCGGCGUGCUUAACACAUGCAAGUCGAACGGAAAGGCUCCUGCUUGCAGGGGUACUCGAGUGGCGAACGGGUGAGUAACACGUGGGUGAUCUGCCCUGCACUUCGGGAUAAGCCUGGGAAACUGGGUCUAAUACCGGAUAGGACCACAUUUUGGAUGGUGUGGUGGAAAGUUUUUCGGUGUGGGAUGAGCUCGCGGCCUAUCAGCUUGUUGGUGGGGUAAUGGCCUACCAAGGCGUCGACGGGUAGCCGGCCUGAGAGGGUGUACGGCCACAUUGGGACUGAGAUACGGCCCAGACUCCUACGGGAGGCAGCAGUGGGGAAUAUUGCACAAUAGGCGCAAGCCUGAUGCAGCGACGCCGCGUGGGGGAUGACGGCCUUCGGGUUGUAAACUCCUUUCGCUAGGGACGAAGCGUUUUUGUGACGGUACCUGGAGAAGAAGCACCGGCUAACUACGUG